rnacentral:rRNA from 1 species
AUUGAACGCUGGCGGCAGGCCUAACACAUGCAAGUCGAGCGGAGCGGCGGACGGGUGAGUAAUGCCUAGGAAUCUGACUGGUAGUGGGGGAUAACGUCCGGAAACGGGCGCUAAUACCGCAUACUAUCAGAUGAGCCUAGGUCGGAUUAGCUAGUUGGUGGGGUAAAGGCCUACCAAGGCGACGGUCAUUAACUGGUCUGAGAGGAUGAUCAUUCACACUGGAACUGAGACACGGUCCAGACUCCUACGGGAGGCAGCAGUGGGGAAUAUUGUACAAUGGGCGAAAGCCUGAUCCAGCCAGGCCGCGUGUUUGAAGAAGGUCUUCGGAUUGUAAAGCACUUUAAGUUGGGAGGCGUUACCAACAGAAUAAGCACCGGCUAACUUCGUGCCAGCAGCCGCGGUAAUUC